rnacentral:sRNA from 1 species
GCCUCUACUCAAUAGUCCCCCCAGCUUUGUGUGCUGGUCUCGGGGCUUCAUGGAGAUGAAUGGGCGGGGGGAGUUGGUGGAGUCACUCAAGAGAUUCUGUGCUUCCACGAGGCUUCCCCCCACUCCUCUGCUGCUAUUCCCUGAGGAAGAGGCCACCAAUGGCCGGGAGGGGCUCCUGCGCUUCAGUUCCUGGCCAUUUUCUAUCCAAGAUGUGGUACAACCUCUUACCCUGCAAGUUCAGAGACCCCUGGUCUCUGUGACGGUGUCAGAUGCCUCCUGGGUCUCAGAACUGCUGUGGUCACUUUUCGUCCCUUUCACGGUGUAUCAAGUAAGGUAUUAACUGUCCUCACAUUUUGGUCGCUGGGGAGAGGCUCACCUCAAGGUCAAGGAAUCAGUGGCCUCUGCCCUGUCCAUUUGUAGAUCUUUAUAUCAAGGUUCUACCACAGAGGCAACACAAAGUAUUUGCAGUAUUUACUAUUUUCCCACCCACCAUGCAAAGAGGUACCAAAGUGGGGAAUGGUGACAGCCUCUACCCUGGGUGCCCACAACAUAGCCCUGGAUUGUUUCUUUGCAGGUGGCUUCGUCCUGUUCAUCGCCAACUAGGGGAAGCGAAUGAGGAGUUUGCACUCCGUGUACAACAGGUGGUCGGGUGCACAGACAGGGUGGAGGCGGGGUCCCUGCUUAGGAGGAGAGGGAGGAAAGCUUGAGAUCUUGACACUUCCAGUCUUCCAAUUCUUCCUAGCUGGUGGCCAAGGAAUUGGGCCAGACAGGGACACGGCUCACUCCAGCUGACAAAGCAGAGCACAUGAAGCGACAAAGACACCCCAGAUUGCGCCCCCAGUCAG